GGUGUUUGGAAUGUAGUUUGAUCCAAGAUCUGCCUAUAUAUGUGUAUCAUAUUUUUGCUGCCUGCGACGGUGCGUGUGACAGGCAGGCAGGUCUCGGAUCAGGCUUCAUUCCUUGCACC
rnacentral:pre_miRNA from 1 species